rnacentral:rRNA from 1 species
UGAGGAAUAUUGGGCAAUGCCCGCAAGGGUGACCCAGCAACGCCGCGUGGAGGAUGAAUGUCGUAAGAUUGUAAACUCCUGUUAGAGGGGAAGAAUAGUACCGGUUGGACCGGUAUAUGACUGUACCCUCAGAGAAAGCCCCGGCUAACUACGUGCCAGCAGCCGCGGUAAUACGUAGGGGGCAAGCGUUGUCCGGAUUUAUUGGGUUUAAAGGGUGCGUAGGCGGCUUUUUAAGUCAGUGGUGAAAUCCUGCCGCUUAACGGUAGAAUUGCCAUUGAUACUGAGAAGCUUGAGUUCAGUUGAGGUAAGCGGAAUGUGUAGUGUAGCUGUGAAAUGCUUAGAUAUUACACAGAACACCGAUUGCGAAGGCAGCUUACUAAACUGUUACUGACGCUGAUGCACGAAAGCGUGGGGAUCGAACA